rnacentral:lncRNA from 1 species
CUUUAUUUCUCCUAUUAGUUCAACAACAAAAAAAAAAACACUUUUACAAAGAUGUAUGCUUCUUUUGAAGGCAGAUUGUGAGCGCAAAUGAACGGUGACCCCAUUUUUUUAUUUUAUUUUUCUAUUAACUAUAAGAUAAAGUUCAUUUAUAGAAAAAUAUAGAGAAAUCCUAUAUAAAUGAUUUAGACCCGCGAACCCCCUUAAAUG